rnacentral:rRNA from 1 species
GACGAACGCUGGCGGCGUGCUUAACACAUGCAAGUCGAACGGAAAGGCCCUGCUUUUGUGGGGUGCUCGAGUGGCGAACGGGUGAGUAACACGUGAGUAGCCUGCCCUUGACUUUGGGAUAACUUCAGGAAACUGGGGCUAAUACCGGAUAGGAGCUCCUGCUGCAUGGUGGGGGUUGGAAAGUUUCGGCGGUUGGGGAUGGACUCGCGGCUUAUCAGCUUGUUGGUGGGGUAGCGGCUUACCAAGGCUUUGACGGGUAGCCGGCCUGAGAGGGUGACCGGCCACAUUGGGACUGAGAUACGGCCCAGACUCCUACGGGAGGCAGCAGUGGGGAAUAUUGCACAAUGGGCGGAAGCCUGAUGCAGCAACGCCGCGUGCGGGAUGACGGCCUUCGGGUUGUAAACCGCUUUCGCCUGUGACGAAGCGUGAGUGACGGUAAUGGGUAAAGAAGCACCGGCUAACUACGUG